GGAGCUGCAGCUGCUAAGAGGCCUCCCCUCAGCUCCUCUGCUCUGGGCUGAAAAAAUGACUUCACCUGCUCCUCAUACACCUCAGUUCUGUCUCUGCUCCCCCUGCCAACUUUCACCUAUCAUUUAAUUAGAUAAGAAAAACAAUGAGUUUGAGCAGGGCCGGCUCUGGUCUCUGCUGGGGCCCUAGGCAGUACCAGAGCACAGAGAACAUUUGAAUAAUAAACAAGUGAAAUUUUUACGGUGGCUUGGAUCAGGCUGUGAUAGCUGUCUCUCACUUGGAGUGAGCUGUCCUGGAGAUGAGGACCGUGCAUGCAGCAAGUGAGGCUCCUCUGGGUUGAGUGUACAUCUUCAGGAAAUGGCGGCACCUGCAUGUUUCGAGGCUGUGAGGCUGACCCCAGCACAGUGCUACAGCGAGGGCUCCCCUUGGGCUCCUUCACCUACUUCUCAGUUGCUAUAGACCAGUGGUUGUGUGAUGCUGGCUACCAAAAGUUAAAGGCCUAGCUUUUAUUUUCUUGCUUUGUUUCAAAAUGUGGAGCCUAAGAAGACUGUAUAAGCAGUGCUCCCAGGAAGGGUGUGCAACCUCUGGGAAGCACCGCCAUGGUUUGAGUGCAUGCCUUGAGCUGGAGCCAAAUCCCUGUAGCUAUUUGGAGGCUGGAUUUGGCUGUCUCAAGUACACCGUGCUGACCAGAAGCCAGCCUACAUGAAGCUGAUGUCCUCUGGUUUCCUGCAGCUCAAGGAAGCGUAGGGUGUCCAUCACCUCCUCUACAGUGGAGUGGUAUCUCACUUGCUAUAGCAGGCUGUGAGGGCUAUAUUCAUUAUGGCUUCUUCUUGUCUCAUUGGCCGGCAUAUUCUCAUAAUAUCCAUGCAGUUGUCCUUCUGUUAUUAUUUAUUGGUUAUUUCAUGAAUCAGGGAGCUCUUUAUGCUUUUUCUGUUUUGUGAUUGCACAGUGGCGUCUGGUCCAUGAGGGAGGUCCAUCAGUGCUACCAUGCUGGAAAUAGUACUUAUUACUGUUAUUAUUCUCAAUAAUUCCAAGUGGGGGCUGCUGUGUAGGUGCCAGAGCUCACAUACUUGAGAAGAAUACCUAACUGCAUGUUUCACAUCAGCACGUGAACCCCUUAAUUUUAAUCUAAGCAAGUCUGCAAGGGGCACAUGUAUUAUCAAUGCCUUUGCAGGCUUGUUUGACUGGAUUUUCUCUAUAAACAAUUCUAUUUCAAAUGUAUGCUUAAUAUAUUCUGUUUUUUUUUAUCAGUCCCUUCACUUUUGUUAAACUGGCUGCAGAGUUCUGCCUGCAUACAAAACUCUUCCUAGCUGAACAUAAAAGUGUAAUUAAAACCACUUAGAAAAUUGAUCUGCAUUUGGGACUAACUCAGCUGGAGGCCUUUGAGGUUUGAUCGCAGAACCUGUCAAACAAGUGUCUGCGGCAGUUCAUGUGACAUAUUUUAGUGUGCUACCUGCUUAUUAUCUCAGCCUUUGAAAAAACAUGCAAAGGACAACAGCUCUCCUACCAUGUCUCCAGGUUGUCAUUUUAACACCAGACCUUCUUGACUGCUCGACAGAUAAGAGUUGGAUCAUCUGCAAGAGCAGAACUGGAAUAACUUAGCAGUAUGCCAAGUUGUGAGCAAGGGCAUUGAAUAUCCCUGCUGAUGGGUGAGGAGCUGAAUGGCUGCAGGACCAACUGCCCCAGAACUCUGCAGGGAGGGACCAUUCUCACAGAGAGCUAGAAGUCCCUAUCAGCCAUGGCAGAGGCCUAACAAGGGGAAGAGUGAAGUCCAUGGAGGUUUUACUUCUGUUAGCAGAACAGCUAUAUGGCAGCAGAGGGGCAGACUGACAGAAUGGUGCCUGACAUGGAAGUGCAGAUGAAGCAAAUGCAUGAAAUUGGCACACUGAUCGACGCUUGCUGAAUGUUGAUGGAGACCAAACGGUGGAUGUGAGCACAGUGAGGCGGUAGAUGAUGUGUUUCAGCAUUCCUUCUUGUAAUGGUAUGACUCACAAUAAUGCCAGUCAGGUACUUACUGGAAACAAAGAACAGGAAGAAGAUUGCUUUGUCAGAUCUAAGGAGUCUGCUUUCUUAAUUUGGAAAAGAUAACUUGUUUUGAAAAUAUGGAGCUAACUGAGAGGCAUUUUGUUUCCUGUUCAGUUGGCUGUAACGUAUACUUUCUAUGGUGUCUAAAUUUCUGCAGCUUUCAGAAUCAUAAACAAACUUGGCCAAAGGUGGUAUAUGAUAACAGAGUUGUAAUUUAUUGUAAUAUAUAACAUAGUGUUUGCUGCUAAAGUCUCCCAGUCAAAGUACUUCUCAGUACUGCAGUGAUUGUCACUAUUAAGGCUAAUAUUUUUCAAGAUUUGACUGGUGAGUUAUUUGAUCAGGCUUAUGGAUACGGUACUCAAAUGUUAUGUUUCAUCAUCUCUAAAACCUGUGGGACUAUAUUUGAAAGGUCUGAGUGGGGCUCAGGAUGUGCCUGAAAACUGGUAUCUACAGAACUAUGCCCCAGUAGUCCUCCAACCACAACUCACCAACAGCAAUGGCUUGGAAAGACAGUUGGAGACGGUCUCAUGGACCCCAUCAGGCAGACGCAUCUGACUCUUUCCUUCUUACUUUUGGCAUGGUCUGAAAAGUGAUUGUAAACUCAUAUCAGUCUGAUUUGAUGUCCUAUUGACUUUAAUUUAUAUUGAAAGAUUAGACCUUACAUGUGCAAUUUAGGUAAGUAACUUCAGGUUAGGCAAGAGUUUGUGAUCUUGUUUUAACUAGCAUUAAUUGACAGCCAAUUGAUUCCAGUUCAGUAAUAUUAUUGUAAAUGCUAAGCUAAAAGCUUCACAAAAUAUGUUUUUGUUUCUGACAUGUACAGACUAGUAUUUACAAUUGUACUCAUUAAUUUGAGAUAAUUGGCAAUUGGCGAUCAAUCAGCUAGAAAAUCCAGGAUCAUCAGUUCUUGUCUAGACAGGAAAAAAAAAUUCAUGAAAUAUAUCCCCAAUUUAAGCCAAGUUGUUUUGUAAUAUGUUCGACACAGAAGGAGAAUUAGAUCACAAAUGCUUCAUCCCCAAAGACAAAUUUCUCUUCUGCCUAUCUCCUUCUCUUUGUAAGAAGGCACAUGUUGAUGUUCCUGCUGUCAAGACUCUGGGUGGACCCCUGAGGUCUUGUUGAAGAAGUGAAGUGGGCUGGCUGUGUCUCAAGUCAGCUCUUCUCCACUAGGAGCUCUUGUGAAGAGCACCAGAAGACAGGACUUGCCCCCGCUUUCCCUUGGGUGCUGCUUUUCAGCUGUGGCCAUACCACUGGCCCCCUCCAUCACAGCAAGGUCCCAAACACAUCCAUGUACAUCUUCAACCUCCCUUGACUCUGGCCCAGACCUGAACGCACCAGCAGGGCUUCCCUGUUUGACCAUGGACCUGCCCUGUCACUGGGGAAGUGCUGGUGGAUUUCCAGGCUGUGUCUGUCCCUGACUGCCCCACAGACCCAAUCCUGACCCUAACCCAUAUCAUGGCUCCUUGGGGUGAAGUCCCUGCUCCCAUCAGCCAUGUCAUCCUGCUGGCUCAUGGCCCUCUUCCAAGUCUUGACAGCAUCACUCACGAAGCAGCGCCAUCUGGCUAAAGUUUUCCUCCUAAGUGAAUCACUGAGUCUGCCUACAAACACGGUAGGCUCUAAAUCAGUGACGACUGAGUUAUAAACAGUUUCUCAGUAAUAAGUGAAACACGUGGGUGAAUUGAAGAGAAACUGGAUGUUUGGAAACAAACAAAACAAAAGUUGACCUCACAGGAAAUCUUCCCUGAUAUAAUCUAUAUCAUUCCUGACUGGAAGGGGAUUAGUUAUAAUAAGUUUCUGAAACCACAGCAAUUUACAUGUGCUGAGGCUAAGGCCACCAGCCUGAAAUGGUAAGCAGACAGAAACCACAGAAAUACCCAGUGACUCAAGGGUUGUCACUUGCUGUAUCAUACUGGGGAUCAUGUUUACACAGACAAGCAAAUAUUUUAGUGUUUUCUUUCAUGCUCCCUUAGGCUAAAUCAGAGAUCUGAUAACUGCUUUCAGCACAAAUACAAUGUCUGUUAAGACUUAGCACCUUGUUUUGUGUAAUGGAUUCCACAGUGUGAGAGAGUUUAUAUUCAGGAAGACAGAGCAGCUCUCAUCUUCUGAAAACAGCCUUUGGCGCUGGGAAAUUUUACUGCAGUAAUCCCCGGUCCUGCUCUUGCUCCAAACUGUUUAACCUUGAUAUGCAUCAGGAGUUCUGUCUUAUCAGGCCAUAAAAGACUUACAGUGCCAGUCUAACGAAGUCCCAAAGUGUUUACAUUAAUGCUGUCUCAGACACUGUAAUGUCUAAAAAUUAGGUGACUGAUCCCAGCAGAGAAAUUCCUCAGCUCCUUAACUUCCAGCAGACUGAGGGAAGGGAGACAGAGCCUAGUUUUUGAUUAUCUGCCUGUUGGCUUCUGUGACUCCUACUGCUGUCAUUGUUGUCUCUACAUACUUCAAUUUUCGAUAGGGCCUUAGCUCAUUUUAUGGUGAUGGGUAGGACUGACCAGUCAUCUGACUGACACUGAGUGUCGGGUCUUGUUUACUCUUUUCCUCCUGCACUCCCAAACCCUGGACCCAUUCUACAGCCUAGAGAUUAGUAUCUUUCUCAGCCCUGACUUUUUCCAUGUAAGUUUGAUCCCUGACAGUUGUAGUUGCUGCCUACAGAUAUUCCUUUGAUUGGGAAAAUAAUACAACCAUACAAUGUUGUUUCUACAUCAGCCCUGCAGUUUUUAGCUCUGUGUCUGCUUGAGAUAGCCAGUCUAACUUUCAAGCCCAGACCCUAGGUGUGUGUGUGUUUCACUUUGAUUCUGAGCGUGAGUGUGAAACCCUAAACUUGUCCCCAUCAUCAGCAAAGUUAGAGAAAACCAGGCUGGAGUCUGUGGGGACAGCAUUGCAAGUCACAGCUGGGAGGAGGUGUUGGCAAUGCAGCUCUCUGCUACCUAGCCAGGAAGAUCCAGGGCCUAGCUGUAGGGAUGGUCUUCCUCCGCCAGGAAGCACCCUGAGAGCUUACUGCCUCUCUGUGCUGGCUGUCACAGAGCCUCUUCUCCAUUCCUCUCCUCCCUCAGUAAACACUUGGCAUAAUCCUAGAGAAAGAUGGACCUCCUUGGAACACUGCCCCAGCCUCGGGUGGGAGGGGACAGAUGCCAGGCACAGGCCAAUGCAUUUCUGUAGGAGGAGUCAUGGCAAGACCUGCUGUCCUGCAGUGAGACCGGGGCUGACACACUCAGCAGGUAGGAUGAGAGGAUGCACAAAUGGGGCAACCACACAGCAUAGGCAUAGGCAACAGAAAGAAGUGUGCACGUUCUGUCAGGUAACGUGUUGAGUUGGUUUAGAUCUGACCAUAUCCCUUAGUAUUUCACAGGUACGUCACAAUCUGUGUUCACCGCGCUUUGGUAUCUGUCAGUGCUUCCAAAGCAAAAGGCUGGUCAAGCAAGAGUCCAUGCCUGAUUUAAGAGAGAUGCACGAGGUGUGUUGCUGCUGCUGGACAAACCACCCCUCACAGUGCGUCACGCCCGUCCACCUCACACUGCUUGGGUGAAGCUGCGGCUGCAACAGGAGGCUCUAUCCCAGCACAGACAGCAUAAAAACACAGGUCCUUAGCUUGGGCUUGUGUGCUGUCACAGAAUUUUGUUUAUUGCUUUUGAACAGAGCACUUACCCUUCCUUCUCACAGGAAUUUCUUUGUCCUUCCCUUCUUGCAGCCUGAACUUCUGGAGGGUUUACUAAUUCGCCUAUAUUUAGCACCUGCCUCCCCAUGUAUCCAACAGAAAGACACAUGGCACCUGCUCUGCAGCCAGGAGUUAUUUUAAGCACUUCUAAAACAGGGAAUAGUAUUUCACACUUUUUGCUCAAAAUUCACAUACACAUAUAAGUUCCCUAAAACAAAGUAUUCUGUAUAAUUACACCAGACUGCAUAUGCCAAUAAAACCUAAAGCUUUACUUCAGCAUAACACCAGACUGAACUACAGUAACACCUCAAAGAAGCAAACAUUAAACUCUGAAAUGGCCAGCACUGGUGUAGCUCCAAUUACCCUCCAGAAAUACAGAAGUGCCUUCUUAUAGCCUAAAGGCUGUUCUAAAUAUUACUUCAGAAUGCUAUGACAAAAUCAGCUUUAUCAACUACAUGCUGCAGUUGAAUAGCAUUGUGAUUUAUGCACAAUUUUCUAGUACAAAACCAAACCAAACAGGUCGCUUGGUGGCAUGUUUUCUUGCAGGCAUAGAGAAAGCCCGGACCCAGAGUCUUUCUGACCCAGAGACUGUCUUGUGUUUCAUGUGGCAUCUCAUCAGUUUUUGUUGUCACAGCCAUAGCUCCUAUUUGCACCCAAAAGCCAGCUCUCCCAAGUCAGCUUACAUUUUUUUGGUCACUCAUUAGAGCAUUUCUUCCUUUCACCAAUGGGCUCCCAUGCUCACCUGUUUUCUGCACGUGCCACACAGUGCCCAGGCUUUUAAGGCUAUUCCAAGGAAAGUGGGUUGACUGUCUCAAAAGGAAGCACUUAGAUUAAAGUCCUUGUGCCAUGCCACCAGCAGUGACAGCAGGGAAGCUGUUUGUCAGACUUACCAGAGCAAAGAGAAGUGCAGGCAGAAGUCAGGCAGAAAGCUCAAACCAGAGCACGACAGCAACAGGACACUGGAUUAUAAUCCUGCCACCAAGAAGACCAAGCAAGGAGGAAGGACAGAGUGACACAGCAGGAACAACCACUGCAGAGCCCGAAUGCACACUGUGCAGGGGACUGGCUCUGAUAGGCGAGCAGGGAGGCUGCCUGCUAGUUGGCAGCAUAACCUAGCUAUGUUGGCUAUUCCCUUCUCUGACAGAGAUAGCACAAGAGGUCAGAGACUCAGGCCCUUAGAAAGAAGAGAUACAGGAAGGAUUCAUAUACAGCUGCUACUCUUGAAAGCUAAGACUUAGUCCGUCAAGGAUUUGAUGUGUUGUCCUCUGUGAAAUUUAUCUUUAUUAAGCACGGACUGGUCAAACUCUGUCUAAGUCUUCUGUCUACCCCAGGAAGACUGGGGUAGCUUUCCACAGUGUGCGCUUGCACCUGUGACUGCCCUUUACAGCCUGGGAUCUGGGCUGGAUGUGUUAUAAACCUGAACCAUUUGUGGCCAUAGACUUACAGGAGGACCACUGGAGGUCUCUCGUCCAACCUCUUGCUCAAAGCAAGCUAAGCUAUGAGCUCAGACCAGGUCUCUCAAGGCCUGUAUUAAGUCUUAGUAUUAAGCUGUGUGACCUCUUGGGCAACCUGUCCUCCUUCUUGACUGUCCUCAUGGUGAAAAAGUUUCUCCUUAUAUCUAGUUUGAACCUCCUUGUUUCAGCUUCUUGUCCUUCCACCUUACACCCCUAUGGAGAGCCUAUAUCUGUCUUCUUGUUAACCUCCUUGUGGGUACUGUGGAGCUGCAGUUUGUAGCCCUCAAAGCUCUUGCUUCUCCAGGCUGAACAUCCCACCUUCCCCAGCCACCUCAUGGGGCAAAUAAUCCAACCCCAGCCACCACAGUAUCCCUCAAGUGAAUGGACCCAUUUCUUCCACUGGAAUGCUAGGAGAGAUAGCUGAUGCAGUCCUCCCUUUGAAUCUAGGAGCUCUCAAAUAAAUGUUUUUGUUGCUGCCAAGGUAACCUGCCUGACCUACUUUCUUCAUGUUACCGUGCAGGCUCACUCUGGCCUGAAGUUGUGUGUAUAAACAGCCAAGCACUCCCCAGGGAGUUCAGCUGCAUGCUGUUUAUCCAGUGACCAGCAUCUCCCACUGCUGUGGCCCACAAGUCGCUCAGGCAGCAUCUUGAGAUGCCAGAUGGCCUAAGGACCAUCUGCUGCUUACUCUCUAGGGAGAGAUGUAGGUCAGUUUAAUGCACAAAAAUGCAAACAACUGGGAAGUGAUAGGCUGGUGCUGGAGGUGGCAGGCAGUGCUAUGAGAAGAGAAAUAGGACUUUGGCUCCAGUGGAAAAUAAUGAAGCUCAGAGCAACAAUAGGAGGAAAAAUAAGUAUAUACUACACUGAUUCCGAGUAAUUUCUUAAAUUGACCCAUUGUGUGGCACUGGAGGAUCUGGAAAUGCUUUGUAACAAUAUCUGAUUCAUGAGGAUGUAAGAGAGUACAGCACUGGGCAGCUCAAUAUCAAGAAGUACUGGCUCGGAGAUGUUUGAUAUGUUGAGAGCAUCCUCGUCUUUCUCUUCAGAGGACUAAAGGUCUUCCUUUGUGGAGAUAGUUACCUGCUUGGAAAAGGCAGCUCAUAUUAUCUGAGGACGCAUGGACUACGUGGCUUAAAGAAAAAACAAUUCUUUAAACCUUCUUCAGACACUGGUGGUGGCUCAGCAGUGCUCUUAAGGAAGUCAUAGGUUUAAGGACAAAGAAAAGGUGCUUGAAAUGCUGGGAAUCUUUCGGAGGGAUUGGAAACUGGCUGGGCAUGUUUUGAGAGAAGAUAAAACUCUGUGGUUGUUUGUGAUACGGCACAGUGAGCGAACUGAAUAUAAGUGAAGAUAAGAGUGUACAGGCUUCUUGGGCUCAUUCUGUUUUGACUGGAGAAUUCUGCUCCAGCCCCUUCUUCAUUUUCCUUUCUGUGAUCAAAAUGAACAACUGAUUUACCAAGAGCUAAGCAACAGCUGAGUUGCAGAAAGUUGCCCACUCCUUGGUAAGCAGAAGGCAAGACAAGUUCUGCAUCACCAGUUCUUUCACUAUGGUAAGACUAUUAUGUGUUCACUCAUUUUUGCACUCAUUUUGUCAUGUAUUGAAGAUGUUGGAGAGCACCGAUAACUCGAUAAGGAAAUUAGACAGAGCCAUCCUUAUAAAUAUUAGCUACAAGAAAUCCAAAGCUAUGUGUCUUGAAUUAUUCUCAUUGAUGCGAUAAGGAAAACAGGGAAUGGAAAGAGGCAAAUAAAAUGCUUGCUCCUGAGCAUGUAAGUAGCAUGUAUAUGCAGAUCCCAAUGAUUGUAAAAGGGAUCUGCUAGAGUUUGGCCUGUGAAUAGAAACAACCAUCUUAAGAAUAGAGAGGGAGACAUUACAGCAGCAUGUUGAACCUGUCAUGCAGUCAGUGUGCAUGCUGAGAACAGCAAGCAUUCUGAAUCUCCAUGCUGGGAUGGUUACAUGUGCUGAGCUAUGUUGAAACCUGGAGAAAGAACAUGCUGCAAGUGCUCUCUAUGAAACCUGCACUGCUUCGGAGGUUUCUGCUUUUGGAAUGCCUAGGGCUUUUUAUGUCCCUGUUUAGGGAAAGAGAAAGAAAAGUUUUCACUAAUCCGCAAGAAAGAAACGUAUGUUUCCCAUUUUAAUGACAGACCACUUCUUGAUAAUCUAAUGUAGUAAGGCUGAAUUUCAACUGUCUUUCAUGAGAUGGAUUAUGUAUCCACAACCAGUAUUGUGGCAUUUUCACCUAUGUCUUUGGUAAUUUUACAUGGAAACUGCUCAUGUUGUAGCUUAUUUCUGGAUUAAACAUAAUCAUCAUCAGCAUAAAGCUACUGAAGAAAUAUGCUUACCAGGCGGAAAAUAACGAGUACAUUUUCACCUAAAUUUCUCAUUUUUUUCUAUGUGACAUUCAGUGAAUUCAGCCUCACCAAGUAGAAGGACUAAUUUACUAUUAAGCCAUUGUUAUUAAAGCCUUCUGGUUUUCUUUCCCCUCCCCCCUUUUUAUUUGUAUCUUUUUCUUUCCAAAGACCAUUUUCCUCACUUGGAACGUUCAGCUCUUACUCACUGAUGCUCCCCUCUCCCAUCAACACUAAAGUCUCUGGCAUUGAAACAGCUGUUUGGGAGGACGGGGUAUUCCUUCUGUGUGCCAUGGGGAGGUUUUGGUGAAAGAUCUAAGUUCAAGUUUAGAGUAACCCUCUUAAAUGUUUAAGGUCUUUUAAAAAAAUGCGGACUCUGCCUCCAGACAGUACUGUGUUAGUUAAAGUCUCUUAAAAACCUUUAAGGGUUUUUCAUUUUCCUCCUAAAUGAAAGUUUUAUUUCUGCAGGAACCGUGACAACCACUGGAAGCCAUAUAGACUGGUUAGGCCUGCAGGACAGUGAGAGAGCCUCCCCAGGUCUCCUGUCUUCUACUGUUUCACCUCAUUAUACUGAAAAUAAAAUUGAUCCAUUCUGUUUAAAC